UCGAAUCUGUUAAUUCGUUGCGCGUCGAAAUUUUCUGAAUCAUCCGCAAAAGGUUUCAUGGGUAAUCGAAUUAGUAAUUCGAGGAGCGAAGAAUUCAAGUUGAUCCUAAUGGCGGGUGCUGAAAGAUGCAGAAAUGGUGAAGGGGCACCGUUGGUGGCACAAAAUGAUGAUCAUGGAUUUAACGGGCUUAUUCCUCAGUUAUUUACCUCACUACCAGCUCUAAAUGAAGCUGUUUUUCUCUUGCACAAACAACUAAUUACUUUACUGGGCUUUUUCUGAUAUUGCGGUAAGUUGUUUCUCUUCAUCUUGUAUUUCUGCUCUCCCUUUUCCGUCUGCAAUAUUUUUGUUGUACACAAGUCUCAUUUUUGUUCUUUUUUCCCUUCUUCUUUUCUG